rnacentral:tRNA from 1 species
GGGGGUGUAGCUCAGUGGCAGAACACGUGCUUAACAUGCAUGAGGUCCUAGAUUCAACCCCCAGUACCUCCA